rnacentral:rRNA from 1 species
GAGCGGACAGAAGGGAGCUUGCUCCCGGAUGUUAGCGGCGGACGGGUGAGUAACACGUGGGUAACCUGCCUGUAAGACUGGGAUAACUCCGGGAAACCGGAGCUAAUACCGGAUAGUUCCUUGAACCGCAUGGUUCAAGGAUGAAAGACGGUUUCGGCUGUCACUUACAGAUGGACCCGCGGCGCAUUAGCUAGUUGGUGGGGUAAUGGCUCACCAAGGCGACGAUGCGUAGCCGACCUGAGAGGGUGAUCGGCCACACUGGGACUGAGACACGGCCCAGACUCCUACGGGAGGCAGCAGUAGGGAAUCUUCCGCAAUGGACGAAAGUCUGACGGAGCAACGCCGCGUGAGUGAUGAAGGUUUUCGGAUCGUAAAGCUCUGUUGUUAGGGAAGAACAAGUGCGAGAGUAACUGCUCGCACCUUGACGGUACCUAACCAGAAAGCCACGGCUAACUACGUGCCAGCAGCCGCGGUAAUACGUAGGUGGCAAGCGUUGUCCGGAAUUAUUGGGCGUAAAGGGCUCGCAGGCGGUUUCUUAAGUCUGAUGUGAAAGCCCCCGGCUCAACCGGGGAGGGUCAUUGGAAACUGGGAAACUUGAGUGCAGAAGAGGAGAGUGGAAUUCCACGUGUAGCGGUGAAAUGCGUAGAGAUGUGGAGGAACACCAGUGGCGAAGGCGACUCUCUGGUCUGUAACUGACGCUGAGGAGCGAAAGCGUGGGGAGCGAACAGGAUUAGAUACCCUGGUAGUCCACGCCGUAAACGAUGAGUGCUAAGUGUUAGGGGGUUUCCGCCCCUUAGUGCUGCAGCUAACGCAUUAAGCACUCCGCCUGGGGAGUACGGUCGCAAGACUGAAACUCAAAGGAAUUGACGGGGGCCCGCACAAGCGGUGGAGCAUGUGGUUUAAUUCGAAGCAACGCGAAGAACCUUACCAGGUCUUGACAUCCUCUGACAACCCUAGAGAUAGGGCUUUCCCUUCGGGGACAGAGUGACAGGUGGUGCAUGGUUGUCGUCAGCUCGUGUCGUGAGAUGUUGGGUUAAGUCCCGCAACGAGCGCAACCCUUGAUCUUAGUUGCCAGCAUUCAGUUGGGCACUCUAAGUGACUGCCGGUGACAACCGGAGGAAGGUGGGGAUGACGUCAAUCAUCCUGCCCCUUAUGACCUGGGCUACCACGUGCUACAUGGA